rnacentral:ribozyme from 1 species
UUCUACUCUUUUUUUUUUUUUUUUUUUUUUUUUUUUUUUUCCCACUUUGAUGUCCCCGGACAAUGUGGCUAAAAGAUAAAGAUAAAGGUUUAAAGUGAUACGAUGAUAGAGAUCACACAGAAUAUAUAUAUAUAAUAAUAUAUAUAUAUAUAUAUA